UCCAGCGACAACAGAGAACCUCCUGAGAGGUUCGGUAGAAUCUCCUUGUCAGGGGAUUCGGGUUUCGGUCCCACCCCUGAGAGGGAGUCCUCCCACACUCAAGCCCUUCCUUUUCUUCCCUCUCCCCUGGUUCUCUCCUGAGCCCGCCCUUUGCCCUAGUUUCUCCUCUUAGGGGUGGGGGUUGGGGGGAAUGGAGCUGGGCUUGCCAGUAGGGUUGUCAUAUUUAGCAGUAAAAAUACAGGAUGCUAGUUCAAAUUUAAAUUUCACAUAAACAAUACAUAAUUCUUUAGUAUAAUAUGUGUCCGAUAUCAAAUAAAAUUAAAAUAUAAAAACAUCAUUUGUUAACUGUCUGAAAUUUAACUGGGCAUCCUGUUUUUUACCUGACAAUCCUAGGCAAAAAUAGCAUUUAUGUACCUCCUAUUUACGGUAUCCUUUCAUAGCACUCCCAGUAUGGGGAGUGUUAUAAUCCAUGUUCUGAUGAACCCCAAAGGGUCUUGCUCAAGGUUAUGCAACUAGUAAGUAACCAGGCUGGGAUACCUUAAAAGCCCAUUUCAAUUCUGCUAUCUCUCGUCAGGUGUGCAAUUCAAGGAAAGACUCCUGGAGAGCUCGUCCAAUUGUUAGAAUGAAUCUCCUUAAUAAAAGCCAAUUUAUCUUUCAGAGGGGCUAUAGAGUUGUUUUAUAUUCAGGUUCUCUGCUGUGGCAUUUACCUUAUAUUUGGGGGAAGAAACUGUAUUAAACUGUCAAGGAAUAUUGAUUUACUAUAUGAUGAUGAAAGUAUAUUUUAUAUUAUUAAAUCACAAUAGCAUAUCAUUUGACUUUGACAUCAGUGAACAAGGUUAUGUUCAUACAGUAGACCCAUACAUCUCUGUAAACAUAGUGAUUAAGGCAGUAUAGGGUAUUCUGAAAUGAGACAUACCUCGGUUCAAAGCCUAGCUUCACGAACACUUUGAUGCAGUAGGUAAGUUACAGAAUCUCUCUGGGCCUCUGUUUGCUCUUUUUAAAAAAGAAAUAGUAAUUAUAACCACUUCGUAGGGUUGUUGUACUAAAUUCUUAUCAAGUGCCUGGAACAUUUAAAUUAAUUAAUUUUAGCUAUGAUUUGCCAUUAUACUUUGAGUAUAAUGUGGAUUUUGGCAUAAAUCAUUAGAUAAUUAAAUGUUUUAAUUUUAGUUUUAAGUUGAAAAAAGCCAGUAAUUAAGAAUAUUAUGAAUAUUGUGAAUUUCAGUGAAAUGUACUAUUCAAUAAUAAAAGAGAUAUUUUAGAUAAUAUACCAGUUUCACUAAAUCAACUAUCUGUAAGCCAAGUUAAUAGAAUAAAAUAUUUGUAUAUCAGUCUCAGUAAUUGCUCCUCAUGUAUAAUUUUAUAUGAUUUUCAUUUUCAUUGUGUUAUAAACAGGAAGAAAACUUACCAAGCACCAAAGGAGAGAAAAUAACUACAGGGUGAGGGGUAAAGCCAGAAAAUAGGUCUAUGAUCAGUGGCUGUUUAUGGUGAGGUAGACUUAGUAUGUUUUAAAAACCAAAUGUCAAGCUUUGUAGGAAUUUUAUAUUUCUUUGUAUAUUGUCUUAUUUCCUUAGUGUUUACAGUGUUAACUUAGUUCACUUACAAACUAUUCUCUAAAAUUCCUCUUGGGAACUUUUUUCAGUUUUUCUCUAAAAAACUACAAAAGCUUUCUACUACCUUGAAGGGAAUGUGGAAUUGUGAAAAUUGAAAUUAACAACUAUGGACUAUUAUCCAAAUAAUUGUAAACAAGUCACUGAACACAUCUGAGCCUUGCUUUAUCUCUACAAUCAAAACAAAUGAAAACCUACCCCACCAUCCCCAAGGUUUAUAAAUGCUACCGAUUACUGUAACUCUUAUCCACCCGAAAAAAUUCCUCCAUGGAUGAAUCCAACUAUUUGGAUUUUUUGUUCCUGCUGCAGGCUUCCCAGAAGAGCUGGAGAAACUUUCACACUGGAAAGACUUGGUACUAAAAUAAAUUCAUGGUAGUCACCUUCACCUGGACUUUCACACCGCACAGCAGGCCCACUGUGUUUCUCUAACCACUCAUUCUUCCUUUUUAUGCAAUUGCGGUUUCAAAUCCUCUUCACUUCUUUCAAGCUUCUGACAUCCUUUGAAAGCCAUUCUCACUAAGUGACCUCUGUGUUAUUGAGAAAAUUGAGUACCUGAGCUUCUGAAUUUCCUGCUGGAAAAUCUGCCCACUGACCUUCAUCUGCAUCCAUCCAGCUUUCACUGAAUCCUAGUACCUUUGCCUGUGUUCUGAAUUCUUCCUUACUAUCUCAGGGACCUUUAUCAUCAGUUAUCCCUUAUGUCACCUGGAUGGUCAGCCACUGCCUCUAAAUCCUUCCCAUCCGCAUGUAAAUAUUCAUUCCUGCAGUCCCUUCUUCAGGGAACAGUUGUCAGUUACCAUUCUUCCACCCAUCUAAUACUCGAUUUCUUCUCCCAUUUGUAAUCAGUUUUAAAGAACCAUCUGCCCUGAUGUUUCUAUUUCUUUACUUCCCAUUCUCUUGGCAACCUGUUCCCAUUGUUCUUCCAUCCUCACCCCUCUGCUGAAACUAUUCCUGCUAAGGUCCCAAUAGUUUCCUUGUCCCUCAAUCCCAUGGACUUCUGACCUGUUAGGCAACAUUUCAUACCCUAAACCAGUGUUCGGGCAAACUGUAGCAUGUGGACCAAAUAUAGCUUCAGCAUGUUCUUAUAUGGCCUUUGAACUAAAAUAUUUUCAUCUAUCUGGCUCUUUACAGAAAAAGAUUGCCAACCCCUUCUAUAGUUCACUCCCUCCUUUUAAAAAUAAAUUCUUCUUUUCGCUCUUCCCUUAUAAGUAAGUUUUGUUUUCUUUGUACUCUUCUCUCCUUUCUUUCUCAGUCUCUCUGUGGUUACCAGACCCUUAGAUGUUGGAAUUCCUCAACACUUUAUGUUGGAAGUGGGAUCUUCUGGAUCUCAUCUACUCCCAAACUUCUACCUCACAUUUUCUUCUGAACAUCAUACAUGUGUAUUCAACUGCCUACUCAACCUCUCCACUUAAUGUGCUACAGAUAGCCCAAACUCAAUAUAUUUGAAACUGAACUCACAAUCCUGUGCUAACCCUGCCUUUCCUACAGACUGUCAUAACCCAAUAGAGUAUAAAGCUGUUGCUUAUAAAGUUAAUGUCAGAAAUCUGGGAGUCUUUGAACAUCUCUUCCUCUCCUCAUCUUGUUCCACUCACAUCUAAGUAAUCACCAAAUGCUAUUAAUUGUAUUACCUGCUUGGUUUUUAAUCUACUUCAUUCAUUCUGCCCAAUACCACCCUAAAGUCAAAAACACCAUCAUCUGGUCAAAUGCUUUAACCUAAGUAGCCUUCCUCUUUUUCUUUAAAAAAAUUUUUUUUGUAAUUGAAUAAUUCUCAUACCAUAUGGGUUACCCUAAAAUUUACAAUUUAGUAGUUCUUAGCUUAUUCAAGAUUCAAACAUUAGUGGUACAUAUCUGGUAUUUUUGCCAUAAGCAUCUUUGCUGUAGACAUUUUUGCUGCAUAGCUAAGUGGCUUUAGAGCAAUUUUGCCUUAAAACAUAAGAUAACUGGUUGACAGUUUGGUUUCAAAUGAUUGACACUUAGUUUCAUUUCUCCAUUGACACAGUUCUCCCAUUUUUAUAUUACAUAAAUCCUAGCCCUCAUAAGGAUCGACACAAUGACAAGUAGAUAUGGUAGUAUUAAAAUAGUGGAUGAAAACUGUAUAUCAACUUGAUGGGAAAUAUGGUGAUAAAACUUACCGGAACUGUUAAAUAAGAAUGUAAAGACAGAUUGCAUACUAUACCAGAAAAUGAUAACUCAGUUUGCAAAUCCUUCAGUGACUUGAAGACAUGGAGUUGAAGCCACAUUUCCCAUAAAACUUUGGAACAUCAAUUAACAGACAUGUGAUAACAUACCAAAAACAAACAACAGUGUGGGUACUUUCACAAUGCAAUACAAAGCUCAGUUAUAAUUGAGUAUUUGGAAACUGAUACCUCUUUUUUUUCCUUUUUUUGUGCUUUUCAGGGCUGCACCCACGGCGUAUGGAGGUUCCCAGGCUAGGGGUCUAAUCAGAGCUAUAGCUGCCGGCCUACACCAUAGCCACAGCAACACCAGAUACGAGCCUCGUCUGCAACCUACAUCACAGUUCAUGGCAGCGCCGGAUCCUUAACCCAAUGAGCAAGGCCAGGGAUCGAACCCGCAAUCUCAUGGUUUCUAGUCGGAUUUGUUUCUGCUGUGCCACAGUGGGUACUCCUGAUACCUCUCUUAAUGAAAGAAGAAAGUUUAGUGAAAAAGAAAAGGUGCUAUGCCGAAUGAGGAGAGACAUCAACUGCAAAAUAACAAAGUAAAAUGUAUGUGUAAAAUACAUUCUCUUACAUCAUAGUACAAUUAUCAAAAUCAAGAAAUUAAUUUUGAUGUAAUAUUAUCUAAUCUGCUGACCUUAUUAAGAUUUAGCCAGUUGUCAAACUAACGUGUAUGUGUAUUUUACAAAAAAUAAAAAUAAAAGAACAGGGAGUUCCCGUCGUGGCGCAGUGGUUAAGGAAUCCGACUAGGAACCAUGAGGUUGCGGGUUCGGUCCCUGCCCUUGCUCAGUGGGUUAACGAUCCGGCGUUGCCGUGAGCUGUGGUGUAGGUUGCAGACGCGGCUCGGAUCCCGCGUUGCUGUGGCUCUGGCGUAGGCCGGUGGCUACAGCUCCGAUUCAACCCCUAGCCUGGGAACCUCCAUAUGCCGCGGGAGCGGCCCAAGAAAUAGCAACAACAACAACAACAAAAAGACAAAAAUAAAUAAAUAAAUAAAUAAAUAAAAGAACAGAACAGAAAAAAUGGGGUUUUAGUGGUCUAGAAUCUAAUUCAGUUUCACACAUUGGAUUUAGUCACCAUGUCUCUUUGGUCUGCCUCAUUCUGGAACACUUCCUCAUUCUUUGUCUUUAAUAAGACUAGAUGAUGACGGGAGUUUUGGUAUUCAUGAUGCAUCAGCAAUGGAGAGCUCUACUUGAUACUCAAAACAAGAGGAGAGGAUGGUGUCACUCACUGAGCAUGUAGGCCAGUUUCUUUGGCAGUUUUGGCAUUUGGAGACUAUAUGGGAGCAACUUGUCUGUGCCUGCCUUGUGUGGAAUCAGUGCUCCCAAUGAGAUGCAAAACCUGCAGGCUGAUAGAGGAGGCAGCACACAACGUCCAGGGAGAGCAUUGAUAUGUUAAAUAGAAGAUAUCUUUUCUCUAGAAGAAAGUCUCGGCAACCCACUGUUAAGUAAGACUUUUUUUCGUUUUACAAAAUGGAUCAAGAUGCUUGUUUUGGAUGAAUUCAGUAAAAAUGUUGAGCCAAAGGAUUAAAGGUCAAAUCCAUGAGAUUUACCGGAAAUCAAAUCUGGAUUCAGGCUGUAUUGUUUUCUGCCUUAAUGCUAAUCGAUAUAUUGAAAAUCAUCAAAAAGUUCCCAAGAGAUCCAUUUCAAAUUCCGGUGAAGAAGGAAGAACUGAACUUUGAAAAGGCCAAAAUGUUACAAUAAUUUUGAAAGAGGAAUUGUUCAGAGUUGAUUUGGGAGGAAAGCAAUGGCCGUAAGUGUUGAAGAAGACAAGGAGGUUCUUUGUGAUACUGAUACUUUCUACAAUACUGCAGUGGAGGAAACGCCAGUGGGUAUGACGGACCUUAUUAAAUCCUGGGAUGAAAUGGUUUUGAAUGUGGUGCUUGCUGUUGCAGUGCAGGUGAUCAUGAUGUGCACUGUGCUUCUUUUGCAGGGGGUGGGGGGGUUGCGGGAGGAAUAUUUGAAGCUUGUUUCAAUGCUCAUAAUGGAUCAAAAAUAUAGAUUUUGCUGCAAAGCAACUUUAGUCAUGAGCUCUUUUGAGGAAAGUCAUUGCCUUUAUCCUCUUUAGAGUUAGAUUGUUGGUUGGGUCUAAGGGAUUGUGAACAUCUUCCUUAGCAAUUUAUUUCCUAGUUAUCUAAAUAAUAAUUAUAUUGAGUAUUUGUUAUCAUCUAAUAAUAUACUUACAGACUGAAAGAUAUGUGCCUUCAGUGUUUAAACUAGUGUAUCUGCCAUUAUUGUGUUAGUCAUCAGGCUGAGUAGAAUGAACUUUAAAAUUAUUUUUUAAGAAAAUAUUUGAAUUCAUUUUGUUUGGUAUCAUUUUUAUUCAGUAAGGCAUUUAUUUUGUUAGUGGUAAGUGUAAACUAGAGUCUUUUGCUAAGCACCAGCAACAAUCAUAUCCUAUGGUUAAAUCUCAGAAAAAUCGCUAUAUUGCAUAUUGAAUGUUCAGCAAAUUACAAUGAAGUAUAUUUU
ensembl:lncRNA